rnacentral:rRNA from 1 species
AUUGAACGCUGGCGGCAGGCUUAACACAUGCAAGUCGAAUGGUAACAGGAAACAGCUUGCUGUUUCGCUGACGAGUGGCGGAAGGGUGAGUAAUGCCUGGGCAACCGCCUGAUGGAGGGGGAUAACUACUGGAAACGGUAGCUAAUACCGCAUAACGUCGCAAGACCAAAGAGGGGGAGCUUCGGGCCUCUUGCCAUCCGAUGUGCCCAGAUGGGAUUAGCUAGUAGGUGGGGUAACGGCUCACCUAGGCGACGAUCCCUAGCUGGUCUGAGAGGAUGACCAGCCACACUGGAACUGAGACACGGUCCAGACUCCUACGGGAGGCAGCAGUGUGGAAUAUUGCACAAUGGGCGCGAGCCUGAUGCAGCCAUGCCGCGUGUAUGGAGAAGGCCUUCGGGUUGUAAAGUACUUUCAGCGGGGAGAAAGGUAGUAAAGUUAAUACCUUUGCUCAUUGACGUUACCCGCAGAAGAAGCACCGGCUAACUCCGUG